UCUCCAUCCGUUUUUGGACUACAGUUCCCAUCAUCCCUGGUCCUGCUAGCUAGGGAUGAUGGGAGUUGUAGUCCAGCAACAGCUGGAGA